UGGCGGACCGGAAGCUGCGGGGUGGGUCCACUCGGAGGUACCGGCUGUGAGGGCAACCCGCACCGGGCGCCCGGGCCGAGCAGGCCGCGGGGCCCCUCCUCAGCGCCGGGGCCGAGCUGAGCCGAGCCCGGGCGCGGCGUUUUCAGCGCUCGGAGCCGCCCCGUCAGCACCCGCGGGCCCCCCACACGCUGCCCCGCCCGUGAUGGGGGAGCACCCGCCGGGAGCGUGGGGUGCGCGGUUCGGUUUGUCUGAGGUGUGCCACCGGUCGUGGUCCGUCCUAAGCACACGCGGAGAAUAAAGGCUCGGAUCUGAAUGGAACGAAGCGCACGAUUAAAAUGAGAAAACGGGCACCAGUGGUUGCAGGUUUGGAGCCCUAAGACGUUCUUUUGUUCCACCAUCACAUAUGUUGGGGUACAGGUGGUGAAAGUACGUCACUGCUCCUGGUUGUGUGUUUCCAAUGGAAAAGGUAAUUUGAUUGACAUCAUAUAGUUACACCCACUAUUUAGAUAUGACUUACAGUUUUUGGAACAGCGUCGGUAAUUGAGCAAGCGAUGCUUGUAAAUGUAUUCAUUUAAUGAUGGGCCUUUCUAAAUAACAUAUGCCAUAAAAAUGACUCAUUAAAUCUAUUUGCUGCCUUAACUAAAUUUCCUGACAAAGGACAAUGAGGAAAAUGCAACUAGCUGUAGAGAGAGAUCUUUUUGUGAACUACUGUAACAUGACUGAUUCUGUAAUUUAAAAAAUUACAUUUCAGCUUUGCCCAGCUUAAUACAGUAUAUCAUCUCAAUUGUGAUUGCAUUUUCUAAGGGGUCUAGUAGUAUUUGCUAGAGACUAGGAGGUAAUUAAGCACACUUUGCUUUAUUGUGUGUUUUAAUAUAUGCAGAUAUCACACGCUAGGCCCUUCGUAAUUUACCUUCAUGCGCGGGGUAAGAUUUUUAUAUUGGCCUACCCAAAAACUGUUACAAACAUCUAGCAAUGCUGAAUAGUAUUUGAAAUGUACAUUAUAAAAUGUUACUUAAAUCUUCAGGUAUAGAGAGAUAGGUACUCACUAAAAUUCAGAAGUUACUGUUAUAACCUAAACACUCUCUCUGGAAGUAUAGCAGCUUCAGGAAGGUGGUUUUUAAUUUUCCUCCAGACAAGAACACUUAGCUACAUUAUAUUUAAAACUUCAUUAAGAUACAUCCAUGACCCUUUCUUUGAAUACCAUGAAUGCACCUAUGUCUAUACAGCGAUACAUUAGUGCGUGUACAUGUUUUCAAAUACACAACAAUACUUGAUGCUGCAAAGACUUGUAGAUUUUUAAUUUUUUUCAGUCAAGGCCUAUAUAGCAUAAAACCCAGAGUUACCAUAAAUAGUAAUAAAAUGUUAAGACCUC